AUGUGCCAAUCACAGAGUUAAGUUUCACUUUCGUUUUCUGCUGCAGAAGAGUGAGACGUCUGGUCAUGUCUCUCCCGUUCGAUCGCCCUUUUCCCUGUUUAUCCCCACCUGUGAUGCUGUGCGUUGAUGAAUACAAGAUGUUCUUUUAGUUUUGCCUGAUGAAUUUUGCCCGACCCAUGGGACUAACUGCUUGUAACCUUUUCCUCAGACAGUUGAGGCGUUGUGCUGACGUGUCCCAGUUCGUGGGCCACCCGGAUCCCACGUCACCUCUCCAUGAUGACCUUGCCAGCUCACAUAUGGAGCCGACAUAUGGACGUCAUCCAUAAGAGAUAGGUGGCCUGAAGGAACUGAGCCUCCAGUGAAACAGACUCCCUCCAUAGAAAGUUGGAUUCUGCAAAAAAAGCCCCAGGAUGUGAAGAAACAGUCUGUACCAUGACAAAACAUAAUGAGUUUAAGUAGAUGAACAAAGUUUUUCUUGUUUUUCUAACAGUUAGGUAAUUCCAUUAUAC